rnacentral:lncRNA from 1 species
CCAAGACCUCUCUGACUCAUCAGUGGUACCUGGAUUGAGAGAGAUAUGCAGAAUCCCAAUAAAUCGACAAGUAUGGCAAAACUUAAAACAUGGCAGGGAUGGAUUGUGGCACUGCAAUUUUCCUGCUGAAAUUGUGGAAACCAAAUGUUGCACAGAUGAAGAAAAUGAGCCCCAGAAAUGUUUCACAAUAGUUCCUGACCACACCAGAAGUUGUGGCUCAAGAUAUCCUGCGUGGCUUUCUUCCCACCACACCAGACGUGUUGUACUAUGGAAACGCAACAUAAACCCACUCUGAUUGAGCUCUUUACCAUGAACCCAGAAAGAUAAGCAGCAGCCCA